CGCUCCCUACCCUGAGGCAGUGUUCAGUCUGCGCCCAUGAAGUCUUUGUGGGUGUCCCCUACCUAACCAGCCACUGCUCGCUCGCUGCAGCCAAGAUAUCGCAAAGUCCCAUCGCCCACAGCGUCUGGAGGCCCAUGGCCAGUCACCUCGGACGUUCAUCAGUGCCAGCCAUCUCCAAAAGGGUAGUUCCCAACAAUGCCAGGGCGUCUCAGACAACGGGAAAGUCAGCGCACCAGAGGCCGUGUAGCCACUCCUGUACACAUGGAAGAAAAACGUGGAAAACCAAGACGUCAUAAAUCCAGACCCGCACAGAAAAGUCCACAAACCGCACACCCUGCUACCCGUGACCUUGUAAAGAAAUGUUUUUAUUCUAGAAAGAGAGUUCAAGAUCUUUCUAGACCGAAAAAGCAAUGGGGAACUCCAGAUAGGAGGCUGUUUUGGGGAAAUCAAGAGCCCAUUCGCCCUGUUUCUGAGGCUGCUUUGAAAGCUCCGUCGAGCAAGAGAAUCGAGGACCUCGCACAGCCCAGGCUGGUCUCCCGACAUUAUGUCCCUAACAGAGUUCAAUAUUACUACAGCUGCGGAAGAGAUUCUGUUAUCUGGGAGAUCCCUCCUCCUGCACUGAUUACCCAGCCUUCCAAACGGAUCCAGAAACUGGCCAAACCCAACAGAUUCAAAACACAGAGUCUGAUAAAUAGAGAGAACUUACCAGGCACCCUCCGCUAUUCCGAUCCCUCUCCCCGGAUUCUGCGACUCUCCAUAGCCAAAGGCACAGAUCCCAACUACAUCCCUCCAA
rnacentral:lncRNA from 1 species